UAAAAAACCUGGUUUCUAUCAACAAUUUAAUGCAAAACUGUUUGAAAAUGCUAAGCGCAUCAUUUUCUGAUUUAUCCCUUGCCCAAACCCUAACCAUGUCCCAAAUCAUGUACGUUUAAUCGCGCCAAUCCCUGUUUGUCAGUCGAUGUAUGUGCAUUUAGUUGUGCCAAUCCCUAUUUGUCAGUCGGUGUAUGUACAUUCAAUUGCACCAAUCCUUACUUUUCAGUCAAUUUAUGUACAUUUAAAAAGCAAUAUUUGAAUUAAUUUUUGAAAAAAUUACUUCAAGUUAUAUAAAAUACAUUCAUGUAAAAAUUUAAUUCAAAUAUAAAUUAACUUUGAUGACAAUAAAAAUCGCGUAAUUAAAAAAAAAUAAACGGAGAAUCAAUCAUCUUACAUCGCAAAAUAUAAAAAUUAAUAGAAGAUGUUAUGAAUAUAAAAGAAAAUAUCAAGCAAUCUUGUCAAAAUAUAAUAUUCGAAAUGUCAACAAAAGAGACGUUAGAAAAGAUUGUAAGAUUAUCCAAUUGUUGAAAAUAAAUUUAAGAUUAGAAAAAGAAAUUAAUUUGGCUAGAAAACAAAAGGCCUGGUAUUUAAAGAAAAAAUUGAAAACACUACUUGGAAAACAUCUGAUAAAACAAAUGAUUCAUUCUUAAAGGAGAGUUUGAAUUAAUUUGAAAAUCUUACAGAAGAGCUGAAGGAAAGAGUUGACAUUUUUGAAAAAAAUGUAAUUGACGUUUAUGAAGGAGGUAGAAAUAAUGAUGAAGUUCGCUCGGUAUAUUACGACCUUUUAAGUAAAAAUGUUUCUGUUAAUAAUGUUGAAUCUGUUAUCAGAACUGUACUACAAAAAAUGGCUGGAAUUUCAGUGGCACACUUCCAAAAAAAUCUUUGGCUUCUGAAUUUUUUAAUGAAAUGAACCUUUUAGCAAAAGCUCACGUGAGAGAGGCUAUGUUGAAUAGUACAAACAAUGUUCUUUAUACAGAUUGCACAAAAUAUAAUUUUAGAGAGGUUGGUAGUUUUCAAGUCACAACAUUGUCUGGUAGCUACACGUUUGGGAUAGAAGAUAUGUUUUCAGGAGAGGCACAAUCUUAUUUUGGAGAGCCAAAAAACUUACUCACUGAUAUGUCUAAGAUAUUUUCUCCUGACAAGGAAAACUACGAGAAUGAUCUUAGGAAACUUAUUUUUUCGUUCAAAUCUUUGAUGACAAAUCUCACUAUUGUUAAUUCAAGUUUUUUUCACCAAUUUAAACAUUGGAGAGAAGCAAUUUUGCCUUUUGUUGUUGAAAACUAUGAUCAGCUUCCUAUAAAUGAAAAAUUAAAAAUUUCUCAAAUGCAUCAUGUUUUUUGUGGCUUACACAUUAUCCACAAUCUAGGAAUAUAUGCAGAAAAGCGAUAAUAGAAUGGGAAAAAGUAGUUGAGCAGGAAGGUAGUAUUUAUGGUGGUUUUAAAAGUUCUCAAAACUCUCGCACCUUUGAUAUUUUGUAUGAACUUUCAAAACUUAUAAGCUAUCGGCAUGGUGAUCAGCAAAAUGGAAAAGCUGAUGAAUGGAAGGCAUUUUUGCGUAAAAGGUUUUCAAAAAAUUUUAUGGUUUUAUUUCUGCAUCAUUGCUUUAAUAUUAUAUUUGUACUUGGUGGAGCAACGUAUUAUCAUAAAGACCACCUUAAAGAAUUUGUUUUUAAUCUUGGUGGUUCAAAUUUUCUUCAUGAGUCAAUUAGGCAUGAUAUUGACAACAUCAUUUUUCAUCCUUCAACUAGAGCUCUGGGAAUUUUUAAUAAAUUGAUAUCAGGACCUCUUUUUUGUAUUAUUGGAGAGGAGGGUCAUAUUUUCUCUUUACCAUACCAUUUGGUUGCAAAUGUUUAAAUAUUUUGUUUCUUGUUCUUCUGAUGCAUCAAAAAUGUUAAGUGGUUCUACAUUUUUUGAUGUAAAAUAUUUCACCAAGAAUGAAGUGUUUGAUCAUUUAAUUUCUAAUUGUAAUGACCCACUCUUGGAUGCCUUAACACAAGAAUGUUUUGAAGUUAUAUGUUACACAUGUUCGGUUAUGAUUCAGAGUCAGUUAAGAGACCAAUUUACCAUACCAUUUGGUUGCAAGCGAAGAGAAAGAGUUUUUGACAACAGAAAUCGGAAAGGAUGGUGUAAUUUUGUGUAAAGAGGAUUUGUAAAAAAUUACAGGAACUGAAAAUGAAAUUGUAAUUAAGUUGCAAAGACAAAUUAAAUUUAGAAAUUAAAAACAAAAAAAAUUAAGACAAAAAAAAAAGGUAUUACAACAAAAAUUUCCAGAAAAGUGGUUACAAUUAGGAGAAAAGGCAAAAGGGAAAUAUUACAAAAAGUUUGGUAUAGAGGCAUUAAACACCAACCUGCUAUCAAUUUUUCAAUUUUUAAAAGACGCUCCAGAACAACACGCAAAUACAAUAAAAUGUUCAGUUAUCAGACAGAAUAAUGAAAGACGAGAAAUGUUGUUAACAUUAAAACAAAAUGUCCGAUGAGAGGGUGAUGCUAGAUUAUAAAUGGAAACUGGAAGUAAAAUAAAAACAGGCACAUCAAAGGGAAGGGUUCCAAAAUUUUUAGGAAAAAGAAUAAAACAUAAAAUUAUAGAUAAUAAUGGUAAGGAUGUAUAGUAUUCGGGGCUCGUGGUUGGUGUUCUAGAUGAAAAUGAAUUUGGUGAAGACUGUGAGUUUCAGAUACUAUAUGAUGGAUAUCAAGAUAAAUAUGACAUUAAGUUGGUCAAAGAGUGGAGGAUGAAAUGUGUUGUGGUAGAGGAAAAAGCUGAUGGUUAUGUGGAGAGCGAAGUUAGAAAAAAACAAAAAUGCUGUUAAUGUUGCUUUUGACACAAUGCUGAUUUAAUGAUUUAAUUUAUUGUAUUUAUGUUUGUUUUUAUUAUUAUUAUUAAUAAUAUUAUUGUUGUUAUUAUUUUUAUUAUUAUUCAAUUUAAUGUAUUCAUGUUUGUAUUCUGUUAUGUCAUCUGGAGCGGUGUUGGCGCACCCACAAUUCUUUAUAUGUAUAUUUGUUUUCUAUUGGACAUCUGCCAUCAUAGGAACAUACCGGUACAUCUGAAAAUCAUUAUAUGUAUACUUGUCUUCUGUUGAGCCUCUGUAGCGGUGUUGAUCUACCGAAUUGGAAAUUACUGGAAGAGCAAGGCGAAGUUUAUAUCGCAAGAUAACAAUUAACAAACGACUUGAAAAAUUGCAUAUUAUAUGAAUUAGGAAAACAAGAUGAAUGGAGUGAAUUCCAAAGAACUGAUGUUUGAGGAAAAAAACUAGAUGAUUAAGAAUUUUUGGAGCACUUAUAAUAUAAUAUACCAAUACUAAAUUUGAAAUGCUUUGUACAUAAGCAUUUCAAAGCAGUAUAGAUUUAAGAAAAAGUUUAGAAUAAAAACAUUUUUUCAUUUUUUUUAUCUUAGGAGUUGUCAAUAGUUCACAUAAACAAUCUCAAAGAGUAGAGACUCCUCUGUUAUUGUUGUUCUAAGUAAUCCAAAUUUCAGGACAUUCAUUUGCUGAACUCAAAGACUAUUCUCUUUUCAAAGGUAUAUUAAUCUGUGUUUUUUAUUUUAAAGAACUCAAAGUUGAUGCUCUUUACAAAGAUCAAACUGAUGAAGGUCAAACUUUUGAUAAAGUUGGUAUUUAUUUCAAAAACCUUUCCUUCUCACACAGUCAACAUUAUGUUGCAUGUUUAAGAACCAGAUUGUUUAAUAGCUUAUUUUUUAAAAUUGAUGAAAACUCAUUACAAGGAAUGUCAUUUAAUUACAAUUUAGCUACAGAUGCUUUUUCCAAUUCAAUUAAUCAAUGUAAUAAGUCAAGUAUAAAUGAGUACAAUAAGUUAAUUGUUGUACUCGUUUAUACUUGACUUAUUGCAUUGAUUGAUUGCUUUUAUUGUAAUUUUGAUAUUUUUUUAUGUAGCUGCAGCUACUUAUAUGUUAUAAGAAGAAAGUUCUCGUUCUCACUUAUACUUGACUUAUUAAAUUUGAUUGAUUGUUUUUAUUGUUUUAUUUUAUUUUUAUUAGUAGAUUUUCUGUUAGUUGUAUCUUCCCAGUAUAUAUAUAUAUAUAUAUAUAUAUAUAUAUAUAUAUAUAUAUAUAUAUAUAUAUAUAUAUAUAUAUAUAUAUAUAUAUAUCUGUGUGUGUGUGUGUGUGUGUGUGUGUGUGUGUGUGUGUGUGUGGUAAAGUUGGCAUUCACACAACAAGCCUUGGUUUUCACACAACCAAUUCUAUGUAGCAUGUUCCUGAACCAAGUUAUUUGAUAAUUGUUUUUAAAUUUGGUAAAAAAUGCAUUACAAGGUAUGUUGUUGAAUAAAUGUUGUGUUUGUAAAUAUUCUUAAUUUAUAGUUUUUGAGUAUUCUUAUGUGUCAUAUGAUGUAGCAAUGUGCAUUUUUAUUAUGUUAUAUAUAAUUAUAUGGGUUUAUAUUUUGUAAGUAUUUCCGUGUGUGUGCUGGUCGUAGUUAAAAUAUGUACAAUAAACUCGAUAACCCUUGAUAACUUAAACUAAUUUUAAAAUUCCAAUUGAGCCUUUAUUUAUGGAUAUAACUCCCAAUAGCUCUCUUCUCUAAUAAGCAAAUUUUUCAGUCCCUUGGAGGUUUAAGUUAUUGAGAGUUAACCGUAAUGUGUUAUGAUAUUUGUUAAUAUUGUGAUGUUAUUGUGUUGUUUUGUGUUAAUAGAUGACUUGGCUUACCUUUACCUCAGUGUCUAUAGUUGAAAAUGAUUAUUGGGAAGUUGUAUUACUUAAACUGACUGCAUAUAAUCAUUCACUAAAUGCCAAGGGUUCCGAUUUCAAAUAAAAGCAGAGAUGUUUAUCUUAUUGUGAUUGUUUAUUUUAGCCUUUUCUUUUUUAAAAAGAGUUAAUCCAAACUUGCAACAAUAAAUCUUGAAACUUUUACAAAAGAAAAACUACUUCACAUAGUCGAUUUCUUUCUCUUAUAACUGAUUUUUGAAAGUUCCUACAUAGCAGAAUUUAAGAAAUUUUCUGAAUGUUGAUUGUUUCGAUAAUUUUCAUACCAUUUACUAAAUGCUAUAUAAUAAUGAAAUAAUUUAAAUUGCUUUUACAAGUACUUUUGAUAUUUGUUGAAUAUUUUUUUGUAAUAUUUUUUUAAGUUUAUACCUUUAUUUUAUAUCGAGAAAAAUAUGUUUU
rnacentral:lncRNA from 1 species